UGGGGAAUAUUGGACAAUGGGCGAAAGCCUGAUCCAGCCAUGCCGCGUGUGUGAAGAAGGUCUUCGGAUUGUAAAGCACUUUAAGUUGGGAGGAAGGGCAGUAAGCGAAUACCUUGCUGUUUUGACGUUACCGACAGAAUAAGCACCGGCUAACUCUGUGCCAGCAGCCGCGGUAAUACAGAGGGUGCAAGCGUUAAUCGGAUUUACUGGGCGUAAAGCGUGCGUAGGCGGCUAAUUGAGUCGGAUGUGAAAUCCCCGAGCUUAACUUGGGAAUUGCAUUCGAUACUGGUUAGCUAGAGUGUGGGAGAGGAUGGUAGAAUUCCAGGUGUAGCGGUGAAAUGCGUAGAUAUAGGAAGGAACACCAGUGGCGAAGGCGACCACCUGGGCUCAUACUGACACUGAGGUGCGAAAGCGUGGGGAGCAAACAGG
rnacentral:rRNA from 1 species